GACGUUUCAGAGUGGUUUUCAGGCAGUUCAGGAGCAGUGUUGUCUGUGGGAGAGGGGAUAUAUAUCACAUGGACCUGAGUGAGUCAUGUGUUUGUCCAUGAGGACAUCACCUGGGAUCUCACUGUUCUCUGACAGGACGUGUUCACACAC